GAUUGAGUCCGGUACGAGUCCUGUCCAGUACGCGUCCGGCAGGAAACGCGCCGCCCUCCGCCGGACGUACAUCAGUUGCAGUAGAAUAAUGAAUCUGGUUGUUGUUAUUGUGUUCUGCCUCGAGUUUUCAUAUCUGAGAGUGUGUAGUGGAAGAGUGAAGGAAUACGCAGAUCGGUGGGAAAACACUUGGCUCGACAUAUGAAAGGAUAACACCAGAGCUGCUCGAUGGGUGUCACACGACGAUACAAGCUGCAGUUAAUUUGAAACAAUAAACUCUAUGGAAGAGUUGAGUGAUGGCAGCUGAGCAGCGCAUGUCCCAUGCUUCUUCCACUCAUGACUCCACAGGGAAGUGCGCGAGUCCUCUCCAAAGAUGUUGCCCCAAUACUUUAUCAGGUAAGGCUCGAUGUUGAGGAUUUCCGACUCCUGGAAAUCCCAUGACUUGUUGCAGUAAUUUGGGCCGAUUGUGCCUAGUUUGGUGGGCCUGAAAAAUGGUGGAAUGUCAAGAAAUAUAUGAAGGAAAGAAAAAUAUGUCAGAAAGGUAGUGGAACGAAUACAUAAAUAGAAGAAUGUAAAUUAACAAUAUUGAAGUAUGGAUAACUAAGAAAAUGGUGUAAUCUAGAAAAAAAGAAAAGUCUGUGUAUAACUGUGAAAAAAGUGACUGUGGAUGAGUUCAGGAAGAUAAAUGUCUGUGUUCAAAUUCUGAAAAGGUGUAGAGUCUGAAAAGUAGUGCAAAUAUGUAACUGGAAGUAUAUGAACUAGAAAAAAAAGUUCAGAUACAUAUGAAUCUACAGAAAUUGCUGCUUAGUUUGGUGUACUAUUAUGUAUAAAAAUGUGAUACCCAGGAAAAAAUGGAAGACAGAAAGAAAAGAGGUGCAUUAAACCUGUGAUUUUUCAAGGAAAAGAUGCUAUGGUCAUCCACUACUAUUCAAAGAUAUUAACCCAAUUCCAACGGGCCCAGCGAGAACUGGCAACCCCCUACGCUGGGCCUAUGUAAUAUCGCCUCGGGGAUGUCACACUGGUUUGUCGCCCCGUCAUCAGGCACUUUGCCGUGUCGCACGGGUGUGACACACCGUCGUCAUUGGUUUAACAUUCUCUCAUAGAUAUAUUGACGCAUAUACUCAAUAUUUUCCGUAUGUGAAAUGAUUAGCAUAAUUAAAAGAUAUCACUGAA
rnacentral:lncRNA from 1 species